rnacentral:rRNA from 1 species
UACGGAGGGUGCAAGCGUUAAUCGGAAUUACUGGGCGUAAAGCGUGCGUAGGCGGUUCGUUAAGUCUGUUGUGAAAGCCCCGGGCUCAACCUGGGAAUGGCAAUGGAUACUGGCGAGCUAGAGUGUGUCAGAGGAUGGUGGAAUUCCCGGUGUAGCGGUGAAAUGCGUAGAGAUCGGGAGGAGCAUCAGUGGCGAAGGCGGCCAUCUGGGACAACACUGACGCUGAGGCACGAAAGCGUGGGGAGCAAACAGG